AACGAACGCUGGCGGCAGGCUUAACACAUGCAAGUCGAGCGCCCCGCAAGGGGAGCGGCAGACGGGUGAGUAACGCGUGGGAAUCUACCCAUCCCUACGGAACAACUCCGGGAAACUGGAGCUAAUACCGUAUACGCCCUUCGGGGGAAAGAUUUAUCGGGGAUGGAUGAGCCCGCGUUGGAUUAGCUAGUUGGUGGGGUAAUGGCCUACCAAGGCGACGAUCCAUAGCUGGUCUGAGAGGAUGAUCAGCCACACUGGGACUGAGACACGGCCCAGACUCCUACGGGAGGCAGCAGUGGGGAAUAUUGGACAAUGGGCGAAAGCCUGAUCCAGCCAUGCCGCGUGAGUGAUGAAGGCCUUAGGGUUGUAAAGCUCUUUUGUCCGGGAAGAUAAUGACGGUACCGGAAGAAUAAGCCCCGGCUAACUCCGUGCCAGCAGCCGCAGUAAUAC
rnacentral:rRNA from 1 species